rnacentral:rRNA from 1 species
GACGAACGCUGGCGGCGUGCUUAACACAUGCAAGUCGAACGGAAAGGCCCCUUUGGGGGUCCUCGAGUGGCGAACGGGUGCGUAACACGUGAGUAACCUGCCCUUGACUUCGGGAUAACUUCAGGAAACUGGGGCUAAUACCGGAUAGGAAUCCUUGCUGCAUGGUGGGGGUUGGAAAGCUUCGGCGGUUUUGGAUGGACUCGCGGCUUAUCAGCUUGUUGGUGGGGUAGUGGCUUACCAAGGCUUUGACGGGUAGCCGGCCUGAGAGGGCGACCGGCCACACUGGGACUGAGAGACGGCAGAGACUCCUACGGGAGGCAGCAGGGGGGAAUAUUGCACAAUGGGCGGAAGCCUGAUGCAGCAACGCCGCGUGCGGGAUGACGGCCUUCGGGUUGUAAACCGCUUUCAGCAGGGGCGAAGCUUGUGGUGACGGUACCUGCAGAAGAAGCACCGGCUAACUACGUG